CAGUCGCCGCGGGAAUACGAACCGGGCGAACGUUAUUCGGAAUCACUGGGCUUAAAGCGCGUGUAGGCGGGAGGGCACGUCCGUCGCUGAAAUCCCCCGGCUCAACCGGGGAACGGGCGCGGAUACGACUCUUCUGGAGGAACGUAGGGGGACCUGGAACUUCCGGUGGAGCGGUGAAAUGCGUUGAGAUCGGAAGGAACGCCCGUGGCGAAAGCGAGGUCCUGGACGUUUACUGACGCUGAGACGCGAAAGCCAGGGGAGCGAACGGGAUUAGAUACCCCAGUAGUCCCUGUCUCUUAUA
rnacentral:rRNA from 1 species